rnacentral:rRNA from 1 species
UACAGAGGGUGCAAGCGUUAAUCGGAAUUACUGGGCGUAAAGCGUGCGUAGUCGGUUAUUUAAGUCGGGCGUGAAAGCCCCGGGCUCAACCUGGGAAUUGCGUUCGAUACUGAAUAGCUAGAGUUCGGCAGAGGGAAGCGGAAUUUCCGGGUGUAGCGGUGAAAUGCGUAGAUAUCGAAGGAACACAGUGGCGAAAGCGGCUUCCUGG